CAUUAAUGAAACACUGUGUGCAUAGUGUUUGCAAAACCAAGCUAAACAAACCUUUCGCUCGUGAGAACUAGGUUUCCAAGAGUUCAAGCUCAGCCAUUUUUUUUCUUCGUAGCUAAAGAAUCCUUCU
rnacentral:lncRNA from 1 species